AGCGAACGCUGGCGGCAUGCCUAACACAUGCAAGUCUGACGGGCGGGGCUUUUGGGCUCUGUCAGUGGCGGACGGGUGAGGAGCGCGUAGGAACGUAUCCAGGGGUGGGGGACAACCGCGGGAAACUGCGGCUAAUACCGCAUGGGGGCCUAGUGGGGAGACCCGAAAGGGGGGAGUCCGGGGCCGAAAGGACGAGGGCGACCUCGCCGCCGCUGGAGCGGCCUGCGUCCGAUUAGCUAGUUGGUGGGGUGACGGCCCACCAAGGCUGUGAUCGGUAGCUGGUCUGAGAGGAUGAUCAGCCACACUGGGACUGAGACACGGCCCAGACUCCUACGGGAGGCAGCAGUGGGGAGUAUUGGACAAUGGGGGAAACCCUAGAUCCAGCAAUGCCGCGUGGGGUGAAGAAGGUCUUCGGAUUGUAAAGCCCUUUCGGCGGGGACGAUGAUGACGGUACCCGCAGAAGAAGCCCCGGCUAACUUCGUGCCAGCAGCCGCCGCGGU
rnacentral:rRNA from 1 species